CCCCAGUGGCUUUUCCAGAACUGCUACCUUCUCCGUGAAGCUCCAUGAGUUUUCCCAAAUUUAUUGACUACUUCUUUCAAGUCAUUUGUUUGCACCUCCCGUGUCAUGAUUUCCAUCAUCUUCUUCCGGAUCUGGCGGACCUGCUGGUGCUGAGCAUAGGAAGUCUUCCGUAUCUGAUUGUUGCGUUUUUUGGUAAAACCAACACAGAACAGACGAAGCAAAUAAAUGCAACUUCAUUGUUCUGCAGGUCAGCAAGACUCACUUCAAAAACACGACCCUUGAGUCCAUCAGACACAAUUUUGGUUCCUUGGGUCCUCGUGACCAGUGUUUUCCCAAUAUUUCGUAUGUUGAACAUAGCAGGUGCCUUCACAUCAUACCAAUCUUUCUUAGAAAAUGGGUCCACCACUUUCUUCUUGGCUCCCUUUUUGCCGCCUUUCGUAAGGUGCUUGUUCUUGCCGACCGCCAUGGUGGUGCUCAGAGAGCCAAAAGGGCGCAUUAGUACUAUUAUGCAUUAUUGCCAUUAGUUUUUAAAAGGUUUAUUUAUUUAUUUAUCUGAAAAGCAGAGUUACAGAGAGAUGGGAAAGACACACACACAAACACACACAGUGAGCUUCAUCUGGGUUUCCCACAUGGGUGAUGGGGUCCAAGUACUUGGGCCAUCCUCUGUUGAUUUUUCCAGGCACAUUAGCAGGGAACUGGAUGGGAAAUGGAGCAGCUGGGACAUGAACUGGUGCCCAUAGGGAUGAUGGCAUUGCAUAACCAUGGCCCCACCAAAUUGUGGUUUUCUAAUCCUGCUGUUACUUCUAGUUGCUAGUUAGCAAUCUACUAUAGGUAAGUUCUAUCCUUUCUUGCCAAUUUGUUUAUUUGUAUCUCUACAAAUAGCUGUGUUUUGUGCAAAGAGACGUACUCUGUUAAUAUUUAG
rnacentral:lncRNA from 1 species